rnacentral:lncRNA from 1 species
CCUGUUUUCUUCUUCUUUUUUGUUCUUUUUAAUAAAAGCAACGUAAGUUAUGGCAAAUAACAAAUUUGAUGAUAAUAACAUUUACUUUAUUCACAUGCCUCGAAAUACAACCGUUCCCCUUACAUUUGGUAACAUUUUAAGGGAAGUACCUUUUUAAAUGUUGGAUGUUCCAAGCGUGAGGCUCAGGGUUUCCUUGCAUGUCCU